UCAGAAUCAGAGAAGUGGGUCUUUCUUAAACACUCAAAAUUACAUUUUAUUGAACAGAAAAUUAUCAUUAAAAAAAAUGAAUGGCGUGAAACAGGACUUAUUUUCAAAUAUAGGACAUAGCCAAAUAGAAUAUGUGUUUUUCAGAAUAUAAAUGGUAGCCUAAUACAACAGGCUACAGAGGCCUAUGCUUGAACUUUGCAACGUUGGGACAUGUUGUUUUUAUUUUCGCAACGACAAUAUUUCUUCAAAACAGUUUUUUAAAAAUGUAUGUUUUUAGUAAGCUUGUAUGCACAACCACCGUGAUAUAUAAAACGGAUUUUCCACUUGUCAGAUACAGCAGGUCAACCUCACCACAGCACAUUUCACUGACUUGGACUUAUUAAAGUGUGAAGAGAACUGAGGGAAAGAGCUCUGAGCCUAGCCGAAUACUGUGCACUGAAACUCGGAUGAGGACUUCAGAUCGACGCCCACCAAACUCUCUCCCCUCAGAAUGGUGCUCGAAUCAAGCCCUCUGUGAUGGAUGAGAGAGAGGGUUUUCCAGUGAUGGCAACAGUUCCUAUGACAACCAGACCUCCACCGGGGGAUUGCGUCUGUCAGACAGUGCUAAUGAUAAUUGAGAGGCUGGAGUGGGCAGGCGUGUGGGUUUGGCCACAGGAAGCCGUGAAUUCCUUGAAGAACAGAGGGUGUCAGGGCCCAGAACGCAACUGGGGGGGGCUUACUGUACCUUGUAACGUCUCAUAAUCCUCCUAGUUGACCCCUGACCCCGGCCUGUGUUUGUAUCAGGAUUUGUAAUGAGUCACUCCAGCAGUGUGUUUACCUUCUGGAGUCACGCAAGGAAGGAAAUAAGGCACGGUCUUCUAAAAGUGUCAAAGUGAGAGAGAAUAGCAGCAGUAUUAGAGCAGAGCCCUGAUUCAUCUCACUGUGACUGACCUCUUGUACCGUUACACUGGGUUUAUUUAACCUAUUCACUACUGUAGGGAGACUAGCUACAGAUCAGCCAAAACAGGGAGUAAGUCUACAAUAUAGCGCACUGUAUGAAAACACAAGGUAUGAGAUUAAUAGUGUAAUUCUGUAAUUGAAGUCUGAUUCGUACCCCAACUCAUUGAGUGAAAUGAUCCGUGUACUGCAGUAUGUGGAUCAACUUAUUUUUGCUAUCACUGUGUAAUAUGUUGCUAAUAGACCAAACAUGUAUUAUUUUUGUCAUAAUUCUCUGUUGUGUGUUGCAGUCAUUUUUGUUUUUUUGCUAUGCCCAAUGAAAUUUGGAGAGAUUUAGUAUUUUCCUUUGUCUCAUGCAACAAUCAUAAAUUAUGUGUAUGUGAUUUUUCUGUUUAAUAAUAAUUUAUUGCAAUACAUUUCUGACUCCAAGAUAUAGAUUAUAUCUGGAAGAUCCCUUGUAAUACACUUUGAAGGAGAAAUCUUCACUCCCAAAUACAUCGUUUUUUAAAUCUUGAACUUACAUUGAGCUCUUCAAACUGUUGAAACUGGAAUGAAUAUGGAACUGUGGCCAACGCCUGUGAUUAAAAUACAAUGUCCUGGCCUACCAUCACGCUGUAGCCUUCGACACUGUGGGCUUGUGUGAUUGCACAAUUGUUGUUUUUGAGCAAGUGCCCCUGUUAGUUUUACUCUGUAAAUAAAUAUGUGCUUCGAGCUGACAAUC